ACUACCGUGACGUGGGGACUACGGGCACGACAAGGAGUCCAAGAUUCUCAGAAUAUCAAAAUUGCCAAGCCAUUGUGUCUAUGUAAAAAAUGUCAAAUUUGAUCCAUCAAAUGCUAAGUUUGCCAAAAUGCAUAAGUUAAAUGCAAAACUGUUGGAGAGUAAUUUUUAAAGUUUUUGAUAAAUUUCAAGAAUGCAAAAUCUAAUUGCAUAACUUUUGGAGAUGCUCUAAAACGGUUAUAGAGAGAGAUGAACUGCCUCAUCACAAUAUAAGAUGAUUUCGAACUCUUUGUAGGCAAGCAAUGAUGAAGUGAUUUGAAUAAUUUGAUCUCUCUGAAUGUCGUGUAGUUAAAUGAAAGCAAUUAAUUAAGCAAAUAUAGUUUUGAAAUAUUGACGGCGCCAUUCGUUAGCGUCAGACAGACAAAACCCGUCUCAGGGCUCGCUGGAGCCCUGCCAACGGCGGUUGGCGGCAAUGGCCGCGCUGCGGUUACCAAGAGCUCCGGCCAUGGCCGCCCUGGCCGGCGCGGGCGUUCCGUACCGUAUCCCAUGCCAGCAGCAUCUCCUGCCCCCGCCGGUUCGGGCCCUCCCCAACAGGGCCCACCUCAACGCUCUGCUCACCUCCUACGGCCGCCGCGGCCGCAUCCAGGACGCGCAGCAGCUGUUCGACCGGAUGCCCCACCGCGACGUCAUCUCCUGGACGGCGCUCCUCACCGCCUACGCCGACGUCGGCAACCUCGCCUCCGCGCGCUUCGUCUUCGACGACAUGCCCCUCCGCAACGCCGCCUCCUGGAACGCGCUGGUCUCCCUCUACCUCCGCGCGGGGCGGCCCGCGGCUGCGCACGCGCUCUUCUGCAAGGCGCCCGCCAAGAACGCCGUGUCCUACGGCGCCAUCAUAACGGGCCUCGCCAGGGCGGGCAUGCUGCGGGAGGCACAGGCGGUGUAUUGGGAGAUGCCGCCGCGGUGGAGGGACCCCGUGGGGUCCAACGCGAUGAUUUGGGGGUACCUCAGGGGCGGGGAGCUUGGCAUGGCGCUGAGGGUGUUCGACGGAAUGGCGGCGAGGGACGUUAUUUCUUGGAGUGCUAUGGUUGAUGGGCUAUGCAAGUAUGGGACUGUGUCCGAGGCCAGGAGGCUGUUUGAGGCAAUGCCGGAGAGGAAUGUGGUGUCCUGGACCUCGAUGAUCCGAGGAUAUGUGAAACACGGGAUGUACAGAGAUGGUCUCUUGCUGUUCCUGGACAUGAGAAGGGAAGGUGUUCAGGUUAAUAUGAUUACACUCUCGGUUGUGCUAGAUGGUUGUGCUCAGGCCAGUCUUGUCGACGAAGGGAGCCAGGUUCACUGCUUGAUGAUAAGAAUGGGGUUUGCAGAGGAUAUAUUUUUGGGUGAUUCGCUGAUAAUAAUGUAUUCUCGAUUUGGCUCGAUGGCUGAUGCUAGAAGCCUUUUUUCUUUCAUGAAUCAGAAAGACAUUGUAUCGUGGAACUCAUUGAUCACUGGUUAUGUUCAGAAUGACAUGAUUGAAGAUGCUCAUGUGCUGUUCAAGUUGAUGCCAGAGAAGGAUGCUAUUUCUUGGACAUCAAUGGUGGUUGGGUUUGCUAAUAGGGGUUGGAUGAGAGAGUCUGUUGAACUCUUUGAGCAAAUGCCUGUAAAAGAUGAGAUUGCCUGGGCUGCAGUUAUGUCUAGUCUUGUUGCAAAUGGAAACUAUGUGAGUGCGGUGCGUUGGUUUUGUCAGAUGUCACAAGAAGGAUGCAGACCUAAUACUGUUGCUUUUAGUUGUUUGCUGAGUGCUUUGGCUAGCCUGGCUAUGCUGAACCAGGGAUUGCAAGCUCAUGCUUAUGCAGUCAACAUGGGAUGGAUAUUUGACUCAGCUGUUCAUGCUUCUUUGGUGACAAUGUAUGCGAAAUGUGGUAGGUUGGCUGAGGCUCAUCGUGUUUUCUCAUGCAUUAGCCAUCCAAGCCUUAUUGCCACUAAUUCUAUGAUUACAGCAUUUGCACAACAUGGCUUGGCUGAAGAUGCGUUCAAACUUUUUAACAGAAUGCAAUAUGAUGGCCAAAGGCCUAACCAUGUGACAUUCUUGGGAAUACUGACUGCAUGUGCUCGAGCUGGUUUGGUUCAACAUGGUUAUAACUACUUUGAAUCCAUGAGAUCAGUCUAUGGUAUUCAACCAAACCCUGACCACUACACAUGCAUGGUUGAUCUUUUAGGUCGUGCAGGCUUCCUUAAUGAAGCACUGGAAAUGACUAAUUCGAUGCCCCAGAAAGAUUAUCCUGAUGCAUGGAAAGCUUUACUUAGCUCUAGUAGCCUCCACUCUAAUCUUGAUUUAGCAAAAUUAGCAGCGCAGAGGCUUCUUGAGAUAGAUCCGUACGACGCAACAGCUUACACUGUCCUGUCAAACAUGUUCUCCUCAGCAGGGAUGAAGGAAGAUGAAGAGAUGGUAAAGGUUGCACAGUUGUCCAACAUGGCUAGUAAGAGUCCUGGGUAUAGCCUCAUCAUACAGGAUAAGACUACAGAAAAUAACUAACACAGAAUGAGCACCUCCAUUUACAGAUAACUGGCAUGUCAUAAGACAGGGAUAUUGGAUUCACAAAAAAACAAUUCUAGUGCCAAGAUUAGAUGUCAAUUUGUUGAUGUAUGUUAGUGCAGAAUCAGUUUUAAUACUUAAGAACUGAGAAUGAGGAAUAUCUGGUAAGAUGAUUAGUGAUUUGAAGAAUACAGAGCCAGGUGGUCUGGAUCAAAUUUUGAGACUGGAGAGUUGAUGAUACUUCUGCAAAUAUUUCAUCUGCUACUAUGACUUGUUGAACAACAAGAAAAUCGUUGACUGCUGCGUGCUUUCAGGAAUAUUUCGUGCAUGAUCCAUUCUCCUCAUCAAUGAUAGAGAAGAGUCACUGAGUGAGGUAAUCUUUAUGCGCAUUCAUUCAUUUUGAUGAGACAACCAUACCAAGGUGAAUUGGGUGACCACUAGGCUUUUCUUUUAGCAAUAGAAGCUUCCAAGUAAUUCAUGGAGGUCUGGAUGUUCUCCUCAAGAAAAAUAGGUAUUCUGUGCCUUUGUUAUAGAUGUGGCAGGUGGAGUAGGACUAUGGUAAACAAGGUUUUUCUUUUUUUUUUUUGGUUGAGCAAAUUGCAGAUUAGUGGGGAAAAGAGCCUAAUUAUGGAAACACAACAUCAGCUUGCUCUUUGAAUAAAUGGUCAUGUUUCAUGAGCUUUCUUAUUCUAGUCCUCUUCUAUUUUUUUUCUUAGCAUUUUUCCAGUGAUCUACAGUCUACUUGUGCCAGUCAUGUCAAGAUCAUGACAGAUUUUAUAUGCAUGGUGGUAGGUGAGAUGCUUAACCAUACACAUCAACACAAGAAUCAUGACCAAUCCAAUACUGUAACCAAUUCGCUUCAACCCCAGUCGCUCAAUUUACUUUGUACUUAUACCAGGAAGCUUGACACAUCCCAUAAAUAGGCCGACAUUUGCAACUCAACUUUAGCUGCCAUCUG